GAGCUCACUUUGGCAGCACAUACCAUGACUAAAAUGGGAACAAUACAGGGGUUAGCAUGGCCCCUGUACAAGGAUGACACACAGAUUUCUGAAGCAUUCUGUUUUUUU